rnacentral:lncRNA from 1 species
ACGUGUGACUUGAUACAAAAUCUUUUUGCUUAUUAUAUUUUGGCGUAUAUCACUUUAUAACUAUUGCAUAAAUGCAUAUAUAUAUUAUGAUGUCCUUGGAUUUGUGCAAUGGGAAUCGGAUCGUGAUGAGAUCACGAUAAUGAGAUCGAUUCACCUUUAAACACAUAUCCUAAAUAAUCCCGGUCAUAGUUUACUCGAGAGGGACAUCGUGAUAACCGGAUAGACUGGUGUGCUGUAUACC